rnacentral:lncRNA from 1 species
CUCGCGAGUCCAUGGACAUCUUGACUUUCUUCAGUCCGCGAGUAUAGCUCUCGGGCCCUGAAUAUCUUACAUCCAUGUGUCAAAACAUGUCGACGACAAGCGUCUUGGGGCAAGAGUGUUGAAAGUUUGUGCAACAGGCGAACCAUGCGUGCCGAUCCCGAUCCCUUAAAUGCGUCGCGGCCCCGGUCGCGCCCGAGCCCGGCUAGCCGUUUGUGGUGCUUGUGAGGGAUUUGGAAUGAGGUACCAUGGACUCAUGUGUGGAGUGGCGUGGACAGGGCGUGGCGGUGCCUUCGCACGGCGUUGGCAUACCCCUUUGCCAGUCCCGCUGGGCUUGCAAGGGUGCUAUUCAUGUCGCCGGUGCCCAUCAUCACAUCCCUUGCUCUAUCAGGGGCUCAGCCCAUUUUCCAGCUGUACAAAGCUGACACCCCUUGUCGUUGGCGGCUUUGGCUUUCGUCACUAACUUUUUGUAGCCUUUUGCGGGCUCUGUGAGGCUUGACGACUUGGCUACGACUUGGUUUGGAUGGCUUCGGCCUUGGGUGGGUGCGUCGCGCCCUGUUUUCGGUAUCGCGCGUUCUGUGGCGGCUGGCCGCGUCUGGGUGGCCGGCCGCGCUCGUUCUGCUCUGUGGUCGCUUUUUGGUUUCGUGUGUGCAGUUACGGGUGGCCCUGGUGGUCGCUCGUGGCCCGGCGCAAGCUUCGAUGUUCCGUGGUGCUCCUCGGCGCCUCUCCUCGUGCCGCCUGGCCCGCCGUCGUCUCCACCGGCGGCCUUGCUGGCUCAGCAGAUAGUUAGGUUGCGGGUGCCGUUCGUAGCAUGGCGGUUCAGGGACCGUUAGGCAGCAGGUCACGCUGGUCGGGUAGUCCCGGGUGUCGGGUUGUGAGUGCCCGGGCGGCUGUUGCCCGGGCGCCCGGGCGGCUGGUGCUCCUGUUCGCCUCCGGGUGCGCGCGUGCCUGUUUGGUGGGUCGGUCUAGUUCGCUGGUGGGGCGGGUGGAGGGCGGUGUGCCCGUAGCGAGGUGUUGUGGUGUACUGGUGGUUUGGUCAGUUUCCGGCUCGGUUUCCCUUUGUGGUGCUUCGGCACAGACGUUUUCGGACAUGGGCCUCCGGGCCAAGACAUUGCGCGUCUGUGACGCCGACGAGAAAAUGUGUGGUGCUUGCGUUUGAUGGGGAUGUCGGCAGACCUCUGGCCUGUCGCGCCUUGUUGUGCGUCGGUGCUGCCGCCAAAAGACCUAAACGAGAUGAGGGGUGUUACGUGGCGGUGGGGCUUUGGCGGGCUUCGGCUUGGCUUCGACUCAUGUGCGUUACACUAUGAAGGUCGGCAGCCAACCGGGGGGCGGGUGUUGUUUCUCUGGGUCGCAGAUGGCCCUUCGCGGCGUGGGUACGGCGUUCCCCCUUGUCGGGCUGUCCCUUCAAUUGUAAUCCGCAUCCAUAGGCGAAGCGGGGUAGGUUAAGGGGCAGGUCGCGUAGUCCCGACAUGCGGGCGUUACGGUGGUGUGUUUGUGGUGUUACAAGGUGGUGUGCACGAUCUUUGCGUGCCUUGGAAACCGGAGGCCCGCGCCAUCAUGCAUUUUAUUGACGAGUGUUGCGGAACUAAUGCGUACUUAUACCAGAGCGGAAGGCGGAGUGGGCUUGCAGGCGGCACGAGAGUAGACAGUCAGUAGCGCAAGUUGCGAAAGCACAUGUUACCUCGUAACCGACGGUACACGCGGGGGAGCUAUGCAUUGGGUGUGUGAUGGGACAGGGUUCAAGGCAGGUUGGCGAGGUCCCGUAGGGUGCAGCCGAUGCAUUGGGUGUGAAUGGGUUGUGAAACCGCCGGGGCCCAGGGGUCAGGCUGGGGGUCAAGGGAAGAGCUGCACCGGGCUUCAUAUGUGUCGGUAGCCAACUGGGGGAGGGNNNNNNNNNNNNNNNNNNNNNNNNNNNNNNNNNNNNNNNNNNNNNNNNNNNNNNNNNNNNNNNNNNNNNNNNNNNNNNNNNNNNNNNNNNNNNNNNNNNNUCGUAGCAUGGCGUUUCAGGGACCGUUAGGCAGCAGGUCACGCUGGUCGGGUAGUCCCGGGUGUCGGGUUGUGAGUGCCCGGGCGGCUGUUGCCCGGGCGCCCGGGCGGCUGGUGCUCCUGUUCGCCUCCGGGUGCGCGCGUGCCUGUUUGGUGGGUCGGUCUAGUUCGCUGGUGGGGCGGGUGGAGGGCGGUGUGCCCGUAGCGAGGUGUUGUGGUGUACUGGUGGUUUGGUCAGUUUCCGGCUCGGUUUCCCUUUGUGGUGCUUCGGCACAGACGUUUUCGGACAUGGGCCUCCGGGCCAAGACAUUGCGCGUCUGUGACGCCGACGAGAAAAUGUGUGGUGCUUGCGUUUGAUGGGGAUGUCGGCAGACCUCUGGCCUGUCGCGCCUUGUUGUGCGUCGGUGCUGCCGCCAAAAGACCUAAACGAGAUGAGGGGUGUUACGUGGCGGUGGGGCUUUGGCGGGCUUCGGCUUGGCUUCGACUCAUGUGCGUUACACUAUGAAGGUCGGCAGCCAACCGGGGGGCGGGUGUUGUUUCUCUGGGUCGCAGAUGGCCCUUCGCGGCGUGGGUACGGCGUUCCCCCUUGUCGGGCUGUCCCUUCAAUUGUAAUCCGCAUCCAUAGGCGAAGCGGGGUAGGUUAAGGGGCAGGUCGCGUAGUCCCGACAUGCGGGCGUUACGGUGGUGUGUUUGUGGUGUUACAAGGAGGUACUCGAGGUUCCGCCCUCGAGCGUUUGGAACUGGCGAGCCUCCCGCUUGCGGGUGCAGCCUGAGCAUUCACGCGGCCGCAUGCACGCGAUUGCAGCACUGCGCGGACGGGUCGUCGUCG